GACGAACGCUGGCGGCGUGCCUAAUACAUGCAAGUAGAACGCUGAAGGAGGAGCUUGCUUCUCUGGAUGAGUUGCGAACGGGUGAGUAACGCGUAGGUAACCUGCCUGGUAGCGGGGGAUAACUAUUGGAAACGAUAGCUAAUACCGCAUAACAGUAGAUAUCGCAUGAUAGCUGCUUGAAAGGUGCAAUUGCACCACUACCAGAUGGACCUGCGUUGUAUUAGCUAGUUGGUGAGGUAACGGCUCACCAAGGCGACGAUACAUAGCCGACCUGAGAGGGUGAUCGGCCACACUGGGACUGAGACACGGCCCAGACUCCUACGGGAGGCAGCAGUAGGGAAUCUUCGGCAAUGGACGGAAGUCUGACCGAGCAACGCCGCGUGAGUGAAGAAGGUUUUCGGAUCGUAAAGCUCUGUUGUAAGAGAAGAACGAGUGUGAGAGUGGAAAGUUCACGCUGUGACGGUAUCUUACCAGAAAGGGACGGCUAACUACGUGCCAGCAGCCGCGGUAAUACGUAGGUCCCGAGCGUUGUCCGGAUUUAUUGGGCGUAAAGCGAGCGCAGGCGGUUAGAUAAGUCUGAAGUUAAAGGCUGUGGCUUAACCAUAAUACGCUUUGGAAGCUGUUUAACUUGAGUGCAAGAGGGGAGAGUGGAAUUCCAUGUGUAGCGGUGAAAUGCGUAGAUAUAUGGAGGAACACCGGUGGCGAAAGCGGCUCUCUGGCUUGUAACUGACGCUGAGGCUCGAAAGCGUGGGGAGCAAACAGG
rnacentral:rRNA from 1 species